CAGUAGCCGCGGGAAUACGUAGGGCGCAAGCGUUGUCCGGAAUUAUUGGGCGUAAAGAGCGUGUAGGCGGCUCGACAAGUCCGCUGUGAAAGUCCAGGGCUCAACCCUGGAAUGCCGGUGGAUACUGUCGAGCUAGAGUCCGGAAGGGGCGAGUGGAACUCCUGGUGUAGCGGUGAAAUGCGCAGAUAUCAGGAAGAACACCAAUGGCGAAGGCAGCUCGCUGGGACGUGACUGACGCUGAGACGCGAAAGCGUGGGGAGCGAACAGGAUUAGAUACCCGUGUAGUCCCUGUCUCUUAUAC
rnacentral:rRNA from 1 species